rnacentral:rRNA from 1 species
UACGUAGGGUGCGAGCGUUGUCCGGAAUUAUUGGGCGUAAAGAGCUCGUAGGCGGUGUGUCGCGUCGGUCGUGAAAACUUGGGGCUUAACCCUGAGCUUGCGGUCGAUACGGGCAUGACUGGAGUUCGGCAGGGGAGACUGGAAUUCCUGGUGUAGCGGUGAAAUGCGCAGAUAUCAGGAGGAACACCGGUGGCGAAGGCGGGUCUCUGGGCCGAUACUGACGCUGAGGAGCGAAAGCGUGGGGAGCGAACAGG